AAGGGUAUUCUCAGGAAAUUGGAAUGUACCAUGGGGACAAGAGAAAACACAUUGGGAAGGAGACCCUUGAAAUUGUGUAGAGAAUCCUGGGCUCACUGUCAACCUGUGCAAAUGUAAGGAUCAGAUCUUACUUAACAUUUCAAAGACUGAAAACUGAGAUACAGAUUGGGUUCCACCCAGGUUGCAGACUGACCACUGGGUGGCGUGCCCAUGCGAAAAACCCAGAUAGCAUUAUAAAGGCUUUGAAUACUGAACUGACACUGCAACCACAACCUACAGAAAACAUAUUGGAAUUUGCAGCUUAACCUAACCAACUCCCUGUGAAAACAAAGAUAUCAAUAUACUCCAUAGGAAUCAGGAAGAUCCUGAGUUUCAUAGCAUAUUAUUAAAAGUGUCUAGGAUGGAUUUCCCUGGUGGUUCACUGGGGGAAAGAUCUGGCAUUAUCUCUGCUGUGACUCAGAUCACUGCUGUGGCAUAGGUUUGGUCCCUGGCCCAAGAACUUCUGCAUGCUGUGGUCAUGGUCAAGAGAAAAGAGAAAGAAAAAUGUCAAAGAUAUAAUCCACAAGUACUCAAUAUGCAGAGAAACACAAAUACCUCAACUCACUAAUAGACAAUAUUGACAAGGUAAUGUAGAUGUUUAAGUCAUUUGACAAAGACUUUAAACUUAAGCUAAACAUAUCAGGAAAGAAAUACGUGGUAUAAAGAGGACUCGAACAUAAUUUUAAAACUGAAAAAUAGAAUAAUCAUAAAAAUUCACUGAUUAGAGCCAUUGGCAGAAUGAAGAGGAAAGAGAAGUCACUGAACUUCAUAGAGCACUAGAAAAUUUUAAAUCUGAACAAUAUAGAGAAAAAUGAUAGGGAAAAAUCAUAAGAGCUUCAGAGAACUCUGGGCCAGUAACAUAAGGGCUAACAUUUGUGUCACUGGAGUCCCAGAAGGAGAGGAGAAAUAGUGUGAUGAGGAAAAACAUAUUUGAAGACACACUGGCUGAAAAUUAUAAUUGUGUUAAAAUUCAUAGAACUGUGCACCAAAGGGAAAAAAGUCACUUUUACUGUAUGAGAAUUUAGAAUAAAUUUAACAAUGGGAUAUAUUAUAGUGUGAUGAUAUGUAAUUUUUAUUUAGCAGUGAUAAUCCUGGACUUGUUUGACCUUAGCAAUUCCUGGUUUCACAGUUGAUGGGGAAGCCUUUUGCUUUCCCACCUUAUUACCUGAAGUGAAUUAAUAAUUUGGUGUGACUAGUAGUAGCAAGAUGUUUAGUUUCUAUUUCUUUUUUUUUUUUUUUAAGAUCACUUCUUAGUGCAUGUGAUAAUUUGGCUUAUUAUACCUUUUUUUCUGUACUUUAUUAUAAGUUUCCUACUUACAAGGAGUUGGGAGAAUGUGGACAGCCCUAAGAAAGAUAGAAAGUAGAUUCUUAUUUUUUCUAUAUAAUUUUAUAGAAUGUUAGUAAAAAUUGGCAGCUUUGCUUAUUUAAUUCUAAAAAUGUGCCAUUAACUCAAUACCUCUAAUUUCACAGCUCUGUAGUUAUUUGGCAGGGGUUUUGCAGGUUCGAAGGGAAAGUAAACACCAAAUUAUCUAUUAGAAGAGAAAAGAAAUGGCAAUGGUUCAGAAUUGGAUGCUAUGAAUUGACACAUAAGAAUCAGUAUAAAUGCUGUUCGCUCUCUAAAAGAAUGUCUGACUAAGCUGUUCAUUCUUUAGAAUUCUUUAAUGAUAUGGUAUUGAUGAAAUUGAGACAUAAAUAAUGUAUAUUUCAAUUUCAAUUUUAUAAGUGAGCCACUUUACAUUAUUAUUAUCAUGUUAGUUUUGGUAGUACCCAUUUGAAUUUGGAUACGAUUACCAGUCCUUUAAGUAAGUGACUGCUUAUUUUCUUGGGUGUGCUAAGUGAUGGGUGUUGAAAUUGAUCAAAUUUUUAGAUUUUAGUCUCCAAGGCAAGAUCGAUCUCAAGACAAGUUGAUUUACCGGUUAUCUUAUUUAUUGCUUUUUCUUUUGCUAUAUGUUUUGUCUCUGCAGUUAACCAUUUCUAAGUAGACUAGAAGAGGUUUUGGCAUUCAGCUCAAUAAAAUGUUGCCAUUUGUGAAAGGCAUUAUAAUGUUGGAGAGGCAGAAGUGAGUGCCUUUAAGAUCAUCAGGGAUUUUAGUAUGUUUAUCUCUGUUCCUUAUGAAUGUGCAUAGGUUCAUAAGUUACGAAAACUAAUUUAACAUUAAUAGAAGAUGUUUAAUAAGUUUUUAUAUAGGUAUAUAUGUAUGACGUAUAAGGAUAUGUAAACAGUUCACAAAACAUUUCUAUUUUUUAAUUUUGGGCUGCAAGUACAGCAUAUGGAAGGUCCUAGCCUGGGAACCUCCAUAUGCUGCAGGUGCGGCCCUGGAAAAGGCAAAAAGAUAGAUAGAUAGAUAGAUAGAUAGAUAGAUAGAUAGAUAGAUAGAUAGAUAGAACGAACCAAGAUUUAGAGAAUUUAGGUGACAUUCUCGGAACCAUACAGUUAAUAAACACUGGAAUCGUGACUUGAACAUGGACCUAGAAAGUUAACUCCCCGCAAUGUUAAUCCAUUUACAAUAGUAACAUCUUUUAAAAAGUAGUGAGAAUCUUUAAGUUUACUAUUUGAAAAAGGGAUGUUGUUACUUAAAAUUCUGUUUUCUGUGAUUUUCGCUGUUAUUAGGGACAUACAACAUCUCAUUGUGUGGGAACUAUAGGAGAAACAAUACUAACACAUAAACUAUUUCCCUCAGUGUAUAAAUUCCCAGACCUCUGCACAUGUUUUAGGAAAUAAUUAAAAUAAUACUAAUUAACAUUUACUGAGUGCUUUCUUUGUGUACUUAAUAUGAGUUAUCCUUACAACCCCCUCUAUGAGAUAGUGUAGUUAUUUUCUUUACGAUGAAGAAAGUCUUUGAUAUCUAUGUGAUUUCUCCAAGAUUAUAUAGGCACAAUAAUUAAUUAAGGAUUUGAUUUGUUAAAAUGAUACAGUGUUUCCUGGGUGAAUAAUUUUAUUAGAAUAAUAGCAUUAAAACUGUUUGUGGUCAGCUCAUUACAUAUGCUUUUGAUGAACUCUGAAGGAUGGCUUAGAUAUGUUAAAAUUUUCUUAAUUUUAUUCUUUGUUUAUAUCCUGGACAAAAAAGACAGAUCUGAAGAUCUUGGCCUGAUAUUCAUGGGGUAUUAUUAGAAAUGUGGAUCAAGAUCAGAUUGUAAGAAGCCUUGACUGACAAAUUUGAGGCACCCAUGAAAGAUUUUGAAGCAGUAUUUGGGGAGACUUCUACUAAGUGUAGUGUGGAAUGGAUUGAAUAGAAUACCACUGAUGAGGGUAACAAAGGCAUCUUGAUGUAAAUAAAUGUCUGGAUCAGGGAAAUAAUAGUACUAAAAUAAAAUAGUUGGAGAGGAUCUAUUUUAAAACUGUAUUUUGUAAUUUGACAUUAACUUCAUCCUGUUAUAUACCUAGUAGUUGAAUAGCUGAGUCGUAUGGUGUAUGUUUUAGUAUUUUGAGGACCUGGCAAACUGCUUUCCAGAGUGGCUGCACCAUUUUACAUUGUCACUAGCAGUGUAAGAGGGUUCCAGUUUCUUCACAUCCUGGCCAGCAAUUGUGAAUAUGUGUCUUUCUCAUUUUAGCCGUUCUGGUGGGUGUGAGGUAAUACUUCAUUUUGGUCUUGCUUCGCAUUUCCCUUAUGGCUAAUGAUGAUGAUGUUGAACAUCUUUUCAGGUGCUCAUUGGCUGUUUCUAUAUCUUCUUUAGAGAACUGUCUGUUCAAAUUGCUCAGUUAAAAAUUAGUUUUUGUGAUUGAGUUGUCAUAGUUCUUAUAUACUAGAUGCAAGUCCUUUAUCAGAUGUAUGAUUCUGUUGUCCUUUCAGUUUCUUUCAAUUAUCAUGAUGUCCAGUUACCUACUUUUUCUUUAAUGUUUGUAUUCUUAGUGCCAUAUGUUGGAGACUUUUAAAUGGAGCAAAGUAAAGAAAGAAGCAAGCCCUGUUGUCAUUGUCUCCUUUGUGGAGGGAUUUUUUUGAGGCUUUUCUUAUAAUCAUAGGAUUUGGGCAACUGCAAGUAACUAACUUUUGGGAUGGUAUGCUUAUUUAAUAGUUAAGGUGAGAAGGUCCACUUUUUUUUCCAUGGACAAAGAAAUAAACUUUUUAAAAAGGAUCUUUUUUUGUUUUGUUUUGUUUUGUUUUGUUUUGCUUUUUAGGGCCACACUUGUGGCAUGUAGAAGUGCCUAUGCUAGGGGCCCAAUCAGAGCUAUAGCUGCCAGCCUGUGCCACAGCAACGCAGGAUCCAAGCCAUGUCUGCAACCUGCACCACAGCUCACAGCAACACAGGAUCCUUAAUCCACUGAACGAGGCCAGGGAUCGAACCUCUGUGCUCAUGGAUACUAGUCGGAUUUCUUUACAUUGCGCCACAACAGGAACUCCAAGGGAUCGUUUUCUUAAAUUGAUAGUUGUGAGAUGAUAAAAUACAUAUAGUCGGAAAUAUUAUUCUAGUAGUUUGGAAAAAUCACUUCCUCCCUAGAUUUUAAAGACUAGUACAGACUAACUAUAAAGUAAGAUGGGUAGGGAGUAGAUAGAUCCAGGGAUUCAGUGUAGAUAUAAUGCAGAGGAGAGAAAGAGAUAAAGAAGCAGUCCUGGCUGUUAUUUUCUUAUGAUCAUGAGUGUUAGUAGCAAUUGUGACUACCUUGGAAUAUUAUUCACUUUCUUAGGUGUAUUUGUUUCAUUUCUUUCAUUUUUUUAUGCUGCAAGAAGAGCCCUUGCUUUUUAAUGGGCAAAUUAAUGGAAAGGUAGGAUCUGUUGUAGUACUAAUUUGCAUCCCUCCCCCAAUCUCUCUCUCUAACACACACACCUUAGUUACAGCAGAAAGUCAUUAUUUCUUGUUCAGUGAAGACUUUCUACUGGUGUUAAAUGUGUGUAUAUUGACCCAAAUCAAAUAUUAUAUUACAGUCAACAUUGUAAUAUGAUAUAAACCAUGUUUAGAACAGCUUGAUGGAUUUCUAGAGGAAUGUUUUAAUUACAAAAUAAAAUAGUCUUUAAAGUAAAAUAGUAUUUCUUAUACAUUUGAGCCAAAAUAACAUUUAGGUGAAAAAUUUCUCUCUCAGUUUUACUAGAAAGAGGUUGAAUUGGCUUUUAACUCAUAAUGUCUGACUGGAAGCUGGGUUAGGGAAAGUUGUCAGUAAAAGAAAAGUGUCUCAGUACUAUUUUGUACUAUUCACAGAUUGAAUUUUUGAGAUCCUAUGUUUCAGAUUUCUAGAGGUGACUCACCUGUAUGUAAAUCUACUCUUAUGCAUGCAUUCUCACCAAAGCAUGUCCCUCCUUUAAUUAGGAAAGGACAAUUAAAAUAUUAUUUGUAUGGAAGUAAAAGGAAAAGAAGCCAUAGAGUUUACCUCAGUUUUUUGUUUGUUUUUGUUUUUUCCUUUUUGCCACUGCACCUCUGGCAUGUGGAAGUUCCUGGGCUAGGGGUCAAAUUGGAGCUGCAGCUCCAGGCCUUCACCAGAACCAUGGCAACACUGGAUCUGAGCCAUAUCUGCAACCUACGCCAUAGCUUGCAACAGUGCCAGAUCUUUAACCCACUGAAUGAGGCCAGGGAUUGAACCCGAAUCAUCAUGGACACUUAACCCACUGAGACACAACAGGAACUCCUAAAAUAUUUUUGUUCUUUAAAAAAACCUUUUUGUUAUUUUAAAAGGAAAUUGCUACUUUAGGAAUGGGAAAGGAAGAAUAGGAAGAUCUGUAUUUUUCUUUAGUCCUUUUCUGAGUAUACUGAACACAUGGAUGUAAAACCUGGAAUUAUAAUAAAGUGUAGUGGUUCCCUGGGCUCAAGCAAGGAUGUGCAUGUCCUGGGUACUAUAAUUGAUUGAGAGUUGGAGACAUCAGGUAGGUGAUUUAGCCUUUCUGGCAUGUUUUUUACAUGUUGGAAUGAGGAAAGGGGAAAAGGUACUCCAAAUUCUGUGAUAUCUAUGGUAGAGUGCCUUGCCUAGCUUUUACCUUUUAGGUGAUUCCAUCCCCUAAACCUCUUUUGCUCUUGACAUACAUGUAACUAAUUAUUUGGUCCAGACUGCUUGGCAUGGCCUUACGCAUUUUGGAUCUUUCAUUCACAAAAAAUUUGUCUAAAGUCUUCUAGUAUUUUUUUAAUUUUUUAAUUAAUAUGCCUCAAUGUACAUUGUAGACUGUCUUCUGCUUCUAGUAUUUUAGGGUUGAGCAAGGAUUCAUGUUCACUUCUCUGGGUAAUUGAUGCUUUAAUGGAGAUUUCACUAAUUAUUACUAUGUAAUAUGUAUUAUUAUGACUAUGUAAACAGAGCUUGGGUUGUUUUUACUUACAUAUUUGCCUGUAUUGAAAAUCAUCUGCUACUUUAUCCCAUUUAUGAGGCCCUGUGAAACAUUCUAAGAAUAGUCUUAGCAUUUUCCUAGUCAGAAUUUAUUGUCAUUUGCACACCCAGCCAUUUAACUUGGUUUCCCCAUCCAGGUUAUUUAUCUUUUCUGAUCAUUUGUGGAAUGCAUUUACACUUCUCCAUCUCUGUCAGUAAAUGUUUUUCCUGGCCUUGGUCUUGUUUUUCUGUGAAACCUUUAAGGAGGACCAAACAAACAAACAAACAAAAUCCUUUAUUCCGUCUGACUUGUGAUUUCGUUUUUCCUGUUGCUUUGAAUAGUUCACAUUACAAAAUCUUUUUCAAAAUCUUUAAAGAGGACAGGAGUUCCUUCUGUCGUCUUGGGGGUCCGACAUUAUCUCUGUGAUGGCGUGGAUUUGAUUCCUAGCCUGUUGCAGGGGGUUAAGGAUACAACAUCACCACAGCUGUGGUGUGGGUCGCAGCUGUGGCUCGGAUUUGAUUCCUGGCCUGGGAAGUUUCAUAUGACGCAUGUAUGGCCAAAAAAGAAAAAAAAAAAA
rnacentral:lncRNA from 1 species